AUUGAACGCUGGCGGCAUGCCUUACACAUGCAAGUCGAACGGCAGCACGGGAGCAAUCCUGGUGGCGAGUGGCGAACGGGGGAGUAAAGUAUCGGAACGUGCCCAGUCGUGGGGGAUAACGUAGCGAAAGUUACGCGAAUCCCGCAUACGAUCUAUGGAUGAAAGCGGGGGCUCGCAAGACCUCGCGCGCCUCGAGCGGCGGAUAUCAGAGUAGGUAGUGGGUGGGGUAAAGGCUCACCAACCGGACGAUCUGUAGCUGGUCUGAGAGUACGACCAGCCAAACUGGGACUGAGACACGGCCCAGACUCCUACGGGAGGCAGCAGUGGGGAAUUUUGGACAAUGGGCGAAAGCCUGAUCCAGCCAUGCCGCGUGCAGGAUGAAGGCCUUCGGGUUGUAAACUGCUUUUGUACGGAACGAAAAGGUUUGGCCUAAUAAGCUGAGCUCAUGACGGUACCGUAAGAAUAAGCACCGGCUAACUACGUGCCAGCAGCCGCCGUAA
rnacentral:rRNA from 1 species